rnacentral:rRNA from 1 species
GGCGGCGGGCAUACGCAUGCAGUCGAGCGAGAGCCUGCUUCGGCAGGUGGACAGCGGCGACAUUUCAGUAAUGCGUGGGGACCUACCCUCGGGUCCGGCUUUUAUGCGGGAAACUGCAGGUAAUACCGGAUGACAUCUCCGGAUCAAAGGUGUGAUUCCGCCCGGGGAGGGGCCUACGUCCUAUUAACUUGUUGGUGGGGUAAUGGCCCACCAAGGCGACGAUGGGUAGCGGGUGUGAGAGCAUGACCCGCGUCAUUGGGACUGAGACACUGCCCAGACACCUACGGGUGGCUGCAGUCGAGAAUCUUCGGCAAUGGGCGAAAGCCUGACCGAGCGACGCCGCGUGCGGGAUGAAGGCCUUCGGGUUGUAAACCGCUGUCAACGGGGAGGAAAUGUUUGAGGGCUAUCCCUUCUGCUUGACCUAUCCGAGGAGGAAGUACGGGCUAAGUUCGUGCCAGCAGCCGCGGUAAGACGAACCGUACAAACGUUAUUCGGAAUUAUUGGGCUUAAAGGGUGCGUAGGCUGCGCGGAAAGUUGGGUGUGAAAGCCCUCGGCUCAACCGAGGAAUUGCGCCCAAAACUGUCGUGCUCGAGGGAGACAGAGGUGAGCGGAACUCAGGGUGGAGCGGUGAAAUGCGUUGAUAUCCUGAGGAACACCGGUGGCGAAAGCGGCUCACUGGGUCUCUUCUGACGCUGAGGCACGAAAGCCAAGGUAAGCAACGGGAUUAGAUACCCCGGUAGUCUUGGCCGUAAACGAUGAGCACUUGAUUGGAGGGUCCUCCAUAGCCUUCCAGUCGUAGCGAAAGUGUUAAGUGCUCCGCCUGGGGAGUAUGGUCGCAAGGCUGAAACUCAAAGAAAUUGACGGGGGCUCACACAAGCGGUGGAGGAUGUGGCUUAAUUCAGGCUUACCCAAGACCUUAUCCUAGCUUGACAUGCACGGAUUAACCCUGUGAAGCAGGGCCAGCCUUCCGGUGGACGUGCCCAGUGCUGCUGGCUGUCGUCGCUUCGGUCGUGAAAGUCCGGUUAGUCCUUAACGACCAAACCCUUG